rnacentral:rRNA from 1 species
CCUACGGGUGACAGCAGUGAGGAAUAUUGGUCAAUGGGCGGAAGCCUGAACCAGCCAAGUAGCGUGCAGGAUGACGGCCCUAUGGGUUGUAAACUGCUUUUAUACGGGAAUAACGCGCCUUACGUGUAGGGCUUUGCAUGUACCGUAUGAAUAAGCAUCGGCUAAUUCCGUGCCAGCAGCCGCGGUAAUACGGAAGGUCCGGGCGUUAUCCGGGUUUUUUGGGUUUAAAGGGAGCUUAGGCGGCAUAUCAAGGUUGCUGUGAAAUGUCCGGGCGCAACCCGGGCCUUGCCGAGCGAACUGGCGUGAUUGAGUCCGCGGAGAGCAAGCGGAAUUCGUCGUGUAGCGGGGAAAAGCUUA